GACGAACGCUGGCGGCGUGCUUAACACAUGCCAGUCGAACGGAAAGGCCUGCUUUCCCUUGUGGAUUGCGGGUACUCGAGUGGCGAACGGGUGAGUAACACGUGAGUGAUCUGCCCCCAACUUGGGUAUAAGCCUGGGAAACUGGGUCUAAUUCCCGAUAGGACUGCAGGGUGGUGCCUGUGGUGGAAAACGAUUUUCUAGUGGUUGGGGAUGAGCUCGCGGCCUAUCAGCUUGUUGGUGGGGUAAUGGCCUACCAAGGCGGCGACGGGUAGCCGGCCUGGGAGGGUGGACGGCCACAUUGGGACUGAGAUACGGCCCAGACUCCUACGGGAGGCAGCAGUGGGGAAUAUUGCACAAUGGGCGGAAGCCUGAUGCAGCGACGCCGCGUGGGGGAUGACGGCCUUCGGGUUGUAAACUCCUUUCGACCGCGAGGAAGCCACCUGGUUGGAAGGGUGGUGACGGUAGUGGUAGAAGAAGCACCGGCUAACUACGUG
rnacentral:rRNA from 1 species